rnacentral:lncRNA from 1 species
CCCCUUUCUAAUCAUAACAAACAUCAUAGCAUUAGUAUACAUCCUAUCAUUACCGACCCUUUAAAAUUAACAUUGUCCUUAAGGUUGGACUCCAUAUUGGAAUGACCGAAAACCAUUUCAUAUUCCUUUUUAUUUGUUCCAAAUAUUGGUUGUGGAAUAUGCAAAAGUUCUUCUUGGUCAAUAUUGAUUUGGAUGUUAAAUUUCCUAACCUUGUUAAUAAGAGUGCAUGUGACAUCCUAUGAAAGGCAAAGUUUGGUUGGCACAAAUCACUCUGUCAUGCAACAGAGCAUAGUUGUUUGUGCUUUCUCUCUGGACGGUGAGGAUCUUCCUACUUUAUCAAUCUGUUUGGGACCCUUGCCAUUCUCAUUUUUGUAGUUUUCUUCCUAAAAAUAACAACAAAAUUAUUAGGAAAACCCAAAAAAAUAUCAAAUCCAUAAAUCAUAUGCUUCUUCUCUUCAUGAACCUUUUCUAUUCCAUGAAAGCUUAAAGCACAUACCCUUGAAAAUGUUUUAGACUCCAAAUACAAUAUUAUCUCAAUACAUUUGUUUCCCUCAAAAUGAUUUUCGUUACAAAAAAUCAUCUCUAUUUUCUUUUCACCUCUUUCUUUUCCAACACAAUUUCGAAAUCUAAACUCACAUUUUCUUUCCUUGAAUGGAUAUUAGAGGUGGAGAUAAUGGCUCCCACGGUGGUUUGUGGCUUUGUUGAUGGCGGUGGACUGAUAAAGACAAUAAUUUAUAUGUAAUCGCAUGCAGCCGUAUUAGAGCGGAUAUGGUCACCAAUGUUGGUUCAUUCAUUGUUGUUGCUUUCGUUGUGACCAUCAUAAGAUUAGUAGUUGAUUACAAGGUGAUUUUCGAACAUGCUUCAUCAAUACACGGUGGGGUUGAAGUAGAUAUAGAUGAAGACAUUUUUUGUUCUUCUUUAUUUCUUUUUUGUAUCUGGAGAUGUUUUUGAGGUGGAUAUAAAGGCACGAUAAAAGUUUGUUUUAGUGAUGGUAUUGUAGAGAUGAACAUAAGUUUGUUCUUUGGAUCUACAUUUGAUGUAUCAUCAUUGUUAGUGUGAGAAAUUUAUAAUUGUUUAUCCUCCAAAUUUUCUUGUAAUUUAAGGAGUAAUUCUCUUAUCUCCUUAAAUAAAUCUACAAUUGGAGGAUGGAUAGAAUGUGGUGUUAGGAUAUGGAGACUAUGGUAGGAUGAAGGUUGAGUGUGUGUCAUAGAUCUGAGGUGGUGAAGGAAUAGGUUGUGAAUGUGAGGUGUGUUGAUGAAGGAAGGAAUAGGUUGUGAAUGUGAGGUGUGUUGAUGAAGGAAAUGGAUCCUCUCCAGUAUUGGAGAGUCCAAGUACUGGAUAGGAU